ensembl:lncRNA
AAGGCCCUGAGAGUGAAUGCAAAGCUCUAACAACAUGCUCUCUCCAACUCCAUCUUCCAAUACAAGGAAUCAAGUAUCUUGUCUAUGCUGAAGAACUUACUGGUGUUCAUGGAAAGUGAUUGCUUUCAAGGAUGUGCUGUAUAGAAUGUGCACACUGCCUGGGAGGCUGCCUCCUUCCUCUGAUGCUGUUUGGUGUCCUGUCAAAUAUCCUGCUCUGCUUUCCCGUAAUGACCAUAGUGAAAUUUGAACAACAUAGUGAUGAAGUCACAUACUUUGGAGGAAUAAUCGGAUGUGGGAUAAUACUGGCAGUAAGUUCUGGUCAGGUGUAAAUCUGUGCAAUACAACUGGUAAACGGCCUUCUUGGAACAUUGUGUGGAGUGUGGAAUUGAAAUGAAUAUUGUAAGGAUAAGUAAUCUGCUUAAAGCUCUAUGAUGAGCCUUGACUACUCUCAUAAAAGAGCCAUCAUCUUUGGAAGGUUUCAAAGGAUUCCCCUGCUCAUUUCUUGAGGAGUUACUACUAUAAGGCAGCUUUGCUGAUCUCUUGUCCAAGCACCAGCUCAUGAAAUUCAAUAUUGGAAAAUGUAUUCAAAUAAAUGAAAAUCAGGAAAAUCAAUUCUUGAAUAGUG